UGCCACGGCACCAAGCCAGCCAGCCAAGCUGUUGACUGCCCACCCACCCAGACCCAGAUGCCCUCCGCGUCCCGACGGAGGCCUCCGCCGCCGCACCGCCGUCGCGCCAUGCCCCCCGCCUCCUCCACCUUCUCCAUCUCCAUCUCCGCACCCCAACCCCCAAAGCCGCUCUACCUCCGCCGCCCUCUCAUUGCCGUCGCCGCCGCGCUGGCCGCGCUCCUCCUCAUCGCUGCCGCUUACGCCACCUGGCGAGUCGGCUCCCCGCCGGCCGCCCUCCUCGGCCGCCCAGCGGCGGCCAGCAGGUUCUACUCCUUCGAUCUCGUCCGCGAGUACCCCCACGACCCGGAUGCCUUCACCCAGGGUCUCUUGUAUGGGGGAAAUGACACUCUUUUCGAGUCCACUGGCCUUUACCACAGGUCUUCUGUCCGAGAAGUGGAGCUUCCCACUGGAAAAGUUCUGGUUCACCACCAAAUGGAUGGGGAUAUGUUUGGAGAAGGUUUAACCCUUCUUGGUGACAGAUUGUUUCAAGUCACCUGGUUGAAGAACGAUGGAUUUAUAUAUGACCGACAUAACUUCACCAAACGCAAGAGUUUUACCCAUAAAAUGCGUGAUGGUUGGGGUCUGGCUACUGAUGGAAAGGUUCUUUUUGGCAGCGAUGGUAGUUCGAAGUUAUAUCAGAUGGAUCCAAAGUCAUUUAAAGUUAUGAAAAUGGUGACCGUCAAGUAUCAGGAUAAUGAAGUCCCCAAUAUUAAUGAACUGGAGUACAUAGAUGGUGAAGUCUGGGCAAAUGUCUGGCAGACAGACUGCAUAGCUAGAGUCUCCCCUGAAGAUGGCCAAGUGCUGAGCUGGAUCUUUCUUCAUGAGCUGAGGCGGAACUUGUUGAAUUCUGGUUAUACGGUAUAUAUUAUAUAAGAAAAGAAAAUCCAAAUCUAAUAGCAGAAAUGGCAUGAUUUCUUCAAUGGAAUCUGCUUUUGUGUUCCAGAAUAUUGAUGUCCUAAACGGAAUAGCUUGGGAUGAAGGAAACCACAGAUUAUUUGUGACAGGAAAGCUGUGGCCAAAGCUUUAUGAGAUCAAGCUACGGCCAGUGGUUGGUCCAGCAGAUGGAUCUGUAGAAAAGCUUUGCCCCAAAGCCAGCUUUUAUCGCUGAAGGAGUGCCCGCUCAAGUAUGGCAUGUAUAUUGUGCUAUUACUGCUAUAUGACGUGGGGCUUUUGAUCGCAUGACUUGAGAAAUGUGGAAGAGAAGAGAGUAUAUAUACAUGUUUGAGAUUCAUUCAGGCUGAUUUGCAGCUCAUUGUCAUUGCCCAAUGAGAGAUGGGAAUUGCUAGAGUCUGGUAUAGUUGUAGCCUUUGUAGUUGUAAGAUGUUGUAACCUGUAUGGAUGAUGGUUGCGUUGCUGUUUUUUGAAAUAGGACGUUUUGCUGUGAUAUGAUGUACCAUCACGCUCACGCAUCUGGAUUUGAAAUGAAAGGAAAUGAAAUACUCUGUUGCCUAGCGCA